UACGUAGGGUGCAAGCGUUGUCCGGAAUUAUUGGGCGUAAAGGGCUCGUAGGCGGUUUGUCACGUCGGGAGUGAAAACUCGGGGCUCAACCCCGAGCCUGCUUCCGAUACGGGCAGACUAGAGGUAUGCAGGGGAGAAUGGAAUUCCUGGUGUAGCGGUGAAAUGCGCAGAUAUCAGGAGGAACACCGGUGGCGAAGGCGGUUCUCUGGGCAUUACCUGACGCUGAGGAGCGAAAGUGUGGGGAGCGAACAGG
rnacentral:rRNA from 1 species